GCAAACUUGGUCAUUUAGAGGAAGUACAAGUCGUAACAAGGUAUCCGUAGGUGAACCUGCGGAUGGAUCAUUACCAAAGGAUUAUAUAUUUAUCCUAUGUAUUGUGAAUAGUUUUGACCGAAUUGGGGGUGAUUGGUUGUGUGUGGGAGUGAGUGGUUGUGAUUUGUGUGUAGGGUAGGUGGUGGUUUACUGCUGCUCUCUCUGCCCCUCACUCUCUUACUUACUCACACACCGGAUCCCCUAAGAAAAAACGUAUUUUUUUGUUUCAACUGAAGUCUGCUUUAGAGAUUAGAAAAAAAAAAAACUAAAGACAACUUUUAGCAACGGAUCUCUUGGCUCUCGCAUCGAUGAAGAACGCAGC
rnacentral:misc_RNA from 1 species